UAAGAAAACAUUAAAAUGUCAUUGACUGUCCCUAAACACCUGCAAAAGGAAUGUUGGCAGCUUUUAAGUAUUUUCUUCAAUAGGUUAAAUGGAGUGGAGCUUACCAGCAUGGGGCCGGAUUGACACUUGGGGAGGAGGUUGAGCAGUGUAAUGCCUUCCUCUCUAGGAUUGCUGUGACCACGAAGCACAUGUCCAAAGCAGGGCGUACUGACAUGCUUACAUUGAUGGCCAUGCGCUGGAAUCAGCAAAAGUUUAAUAACUUGGCUACUUCACUUGCCUGCCGAUAUCAGAAGGCCACAAAACGUCUGGAAAGCCAACUUCAGGACCUGGAAAGCAUGAGAAUCCAGCUGGCAGUGACACAAGUUGAAGUUGAGGGCUGGGUCACUGAUAUUAAGGAGUGGGCAGAAGCAAAAGCAUCCCAAAAGAAUGCCGAUCUUGACACGGUGAUCAAUAGAAUAGAGGUGCUGGUGGCCAGCAUUAAAAGAAUGUCCCAGCGCCUUUACAAAGACACCGAUGGCAGCAAAGGUCGGGCCCAGAUCCGGCGCAAAAUCAGAGAGGAGAAGGCCAUUCUUAGCUCUGUUGUUUGAAAAAUACAACAGUAUGGUUCCAGAUACAGAAAGAAUUGCCUUUGACAUCAUUCUCUCUGACGAGACAGUUUGGCCAUGGCAACUUUCACAUGACGCUGUAGAUUUGAAAACCAAGAGGAAGGCGUUUGAUGUUGUGAUGGCUAUAAGGAGACUUGAGGAGGAGAAAAAGAUUGUUCUUUCUGAGAUGGCAAAGCAUUGGAAAUCUCUCUCCACUCGUGCAGACACACUCAAGGAGAUGUCAUGCCAGCUUUCCAGUGAGUUGUGGGAUCUAAAUGAAGAAGGGAUCAAGGGUUUCCUCAGCUUAACUUUGAGAAAGAAGCAAGAAGUCAUCAGAAGGAUGAAGCAUGCAAGAGACUGUUAUGCUAAAGUUUUGACUGGAACAAGUAUGGACAUCCAGAAUGAUUGGGAUGGAUACGACAGUGACUCUGAAUUGUCAGAUGAGUUUGAUGAGCUCUCAAGUGAGAAAUGAGCAUUAAGUCAUUUUUGUUGCAGAGUUUCCUUUUUAUUUUUUUAUUUUGUUUAUUUUUUUCUCCCACUCUAACAAUGCAGCCCCUAUUUCUGAUACUAUGGGGGGGUCAGAAAUGUUGCUGUGGGGGGCCACCACGGUCAAAUCAACAUGGAGGAAACACUGUUUGUGUGUCAGAUAUGCUUGAAUAAUAGUAUUCAUCAUAUCUACAUGUGACAUUACAACAAUAAUGAAUGUAAUUAAUUUAAGUAACUGUUUUUCCAAUAGUAAUCUUCUGUUUAUGGUAGAACAAAACUAUGUGCAGAAA